ACGGGUGAGUAACGCGUAGGAAUCUGCCCUAAAGAGGGGGACAACCCGAGGAAACUCGGGCUAAUACCGCAUAAACUCGAAAGAGUAAAGCUGGGGCAACCUGGCACUUUAGGAGGAGCCUGCGUCCGAUUAGCUAGUUGGUAAGGUAAAGGCUUACCAAGGCGAUGAUCGGUAGCUGGUCUGAGAGGAUGAUCAGCCACACUGGGACUGAGACACGGCCCAGACUCCUACGGGAGGCAGCAGUGGGGAAUAUUGGACAAUGGGGGCAACCCUGAUCCAGCAAUGCCGCGUGUGUGAAGAAGGCCUUCGGGUUGUAAAGCACUUUAGUUGGGGAAGAAGGUUAUUUGUUUAAGAGAUGAAUAACUUGACGGUACCCAAAGAAUAAGCACCGGCUAACUCUGUGCCAGCAGCCGCGGUAAUACAGAGGGUGCAAGCGUUAAUCGGAGUUACUGGGCGUAAAGGGCGCGUAGGCGGUUUUUUAAGUUGGAUGUGAAAUCCCUGGGCUUAACCUAGGAACUGCAUUCAAUACUGGAAGACUAGAGUACUGUAGAGGGUAGUGGAAUUUCCGGUGUAGCGG
rnacentral:rRNA from 1 species